GAUGAACGCUAGCGGCAGGCCUAACACAUGCAAGUCGAGGGAGAAGCCCUUUCGGGGGCAGAAACCGGCGCACGGGUGCGUAACGCGUAUGCAACCUACCUUUCACAGGGGGAUAGCCCGAAGAAAUUUGGAUUAAUACCCCAUAAUAUUAUUGGAUGGCAUCAUUUGAUAAUUAAAACUGCGGUGGUGAAAGAUGGGCAUGCGUCCUAUUAGCUAGUUGGAGUGGUAACGGCACCCCAAGGCUACGAUAGGUAGGGGUCCUGAGAGGGAGAUCCCCCACACUGGUACUGAGACAGGGACCAGACUCCUACGGGAGGCAGCAGUGAGGAAUAUUGGUCAAUGGUCGGAAGACUGAACCAGCCAUGCCGCGUGCAGGAAGAAUGCCUUAUGGGUUGUAAACUGCUUUUAUAUGGGAAGAAUAAGGCGUACGUGUACGUUGAUGACGGUACCAUAUGAAUAAGCAUCGGCUAACUCCGUA
rnacentral:rRNA from 1 species